GGAAAACUGGAACGAAGAGGAGAAGCUGUGAUGCAAGAACAUGUAGUGUAAAACUGAGAGGUGAGGUGGUGUGGAGAAUGUGGCCGGAUGUGGAUCCCUGUGUUGUUCCACAAGUGACUUGAAUCUCAAGUCUCUCGAAGUCUUCUGCCUGUCUGCUUUCCAACUCCACCGAUUGUCCAGAGCGCAGCACGUGUAUGCGGCCGUAUGUGGAACCCUGUGUUGUCCCAGAAGUGGCUGGAAUCUCAAGUAUCUCGAAGUCUUCCGCCUGUCUUUGCUUUUCAACCCCACCAAUCCUCCAGAGC